GGUGUACGGCUGGAUGGCGACGGUCAUCGGUAUGUCUUCCUCCUUGGACGGUGCGAGCCGGCGGAGCGCCUCACGCCCUGCGACUGCAGUCACCCGGUCGCAGCUACGGAUCAAAGCGGAGAACUCUCCGAAUCCGGAGGAUAAUCGGAGAAGUCUCCAC
rnacentral:misc_RNA from 1 species